rnacentral:tRNA from 1 species
GGUGUAGCUCAGUGAUAGAGCACUUGCUAAGCAUGCAUGAGGCCCAGGGUUCAAUUCCCAGGACCA